rnacentral:rRNA from 1 species
CAGCAGCCGCGGGAAUACGUAGGGUGCAAGCGUUAAUCGGAAUUACUGGGCGUAAAGCGUGCGUAGGUGGUGGUUUAAGUCCGUUGUGAAAGCCCUGGGCUCAACCUGGGAAUUGCAGUGGAUACUGGGUCACUAGAGUGUGGUAGAGGAUAGUGGAAUUUCCGGUGUAGCAGUGAAAUGCGUAGAGAUCGGAAGGAACAUCUGUGGCGAAGGCGACUAUCUGGGCCAACACUGACACUGAGGCACGAAAGCGUGGGGAGCAAACAGGAUUAGAGACCCGAGUAGUCCCUGUCUCUUAUAC